UUAUGAGCUAUCAUUUACUAUUGUUGACAUUGUUGAGUUGAAAUCGAUCGACAAACGAAAAUAUCAAUCCAACAAUGAAAACGGAAGCCUUUGCACUUGUACCACAUACCAAAGCACCGAAACCGACCUGAUUACACUGCAGAAGAAUAACUACUUGUGAUGGAGUAGCAGGUAUAAGCAAUCCAACAAUGAUUCCCAUCCACGGGUGUCAUUUUGUGGUUUACGUGUUGUUUGAUUGUCCAAUAUAACAAAUGAAAAAUCUUUAGUGAAAUAAUGCCGUAAAUAUGCUCCGCAAAAUACCGAACCGAAGACCAAUUUGCAUUGAAACAUCGACGACUACAGAACGCGCUACGAGCUGGAUGAACAUUGGGACCUUCGGCGUAUUUUCCUGGAACGACAUCAACAUUGAAUUCCGGAGGACGAACUCGUAUGUUUGCUCAGUAUUUGUGUAUGUAGAAUUGCUACACUUCCGCUACUCCCCAGAGACGAUGGAACGUCUUAAGCAGCUGUUGGAGGGGGUUGCCAAUAAGUAUCGAGCUUCCAGAAGAAAUUAACUUCAGCGAACAUUCGUUUCGGCUUCGAAUGCUGCUGCAUCCGAAGUACAACGGAAAGGACCGGAAGAUCAGGUUUCUCACAGCGGUGCUCUACUGCGAACGGAAUACUCCAGUAAGUUUAAGCAUGUGCAGCUUCACAUGUCGAGAAAUGCCGGAGGAAAAAUCUUGAGCCAAAUAAAGGUGGGAACGCUUGUACUGAUUGACGCGAUAGGCGAUUUGGAUAAGCUGGUUAGAAAAAAUGUAAAGAUCUCAUUCCUGAAAAAGAUGGCUAACCAUUGCUACAAAAUUGUUCGGAAAAAGCAAUCCGUCAAUCUAGACAACGAAAGCGUCGAAUGUAAAGAAAUUGACGGAACUGUAGACCGCCGGGUCAUAUAGUUAGGGUGACCAUACGUCCUGGUUUCCCAGGACAUGUCCUGGUUUUGCAUUGACUGUCCUGGUGUCCUGGGAAGUCGAGGAAAAUGCUUAAUUUGUCCUGGUUUUUCUCCUAUCGCAGUAACGACCGACCGCAACCAUAACUGCAACGUAUAUUCAUCCUCAAUCGGAAUGCGACAAAUAAAACUUAAUAUAGUCGAAUCUCCCAAUUGUACCUUCCGAUGUUUUUUUAAUCUCCCAAUGGUUACCAGCGCUUCUUCUCAGCUUAAAUCGUCAUUCAAUUCCCUUUGGUACCUCUGAAAAGACACAUCGCCAUUUUGGUGCUUUUGCUUCUACUUGAGUUCUCUUGCUAGUGGCUUUUUUUCGUCUUACUGGAAAUCCAUUCCAUAAAAAGAAAAAUAGCACCUAAUCAGUCGCUCUGCUUGUCAACAGUGCAGUGAAUCAAACGAACGUUUCUACCUAAAGUCUGCUGUCUAUAUGCACCGUGCCAGUACUAUAAACAAGCAAAGCAAUCGAAUAAUAAAUUUCGUCCAAAGCUCGUGUGAACAAUAAAGCACCGUUACUUUCAUCGAUGCGAUAUCGAUAAUUCAUUUCAAGAUGUUUGAAACUCAACAGCAAAUUUGCAAAUGCAGUUUAGACUAACGGAAGUCGUCGUUAUACAAGCUCACCACACUUGUUACUGAUAACAUUUAAAACUUUGGCUAUAACGGAAAGCUACGCAAUGUAAGACAACAUGCAGUACGUCGUUGAGCAUGAUAAUGUUAGGACCAAGAUUCCCGUUUAUAUUGACAAAGAUAAGAUUGAUAUGCGUCUGCACAAUCUACACCUGGGUAUUAUUAAUAAAUUUAUUACAACCGUCAUGUCGGAAUACGUAACGGUGAAAUCCUUUAAGUUUAAAACCCGGAGAAAAUUUAGGUAUUUCCAACGGUUUUUGUUUCGUGAGAAUGCGAGUGACCUAUUCCUUCAUAUCUGAACUUUCAAUUUAAAGCAAAACGCGUGACCAAAUCUCAAAUCACGCUGUGCACGUAUGAAGGACAGACCCCUGCGUGCCCUACGUUGUUACACAAGAAGACACACUACGAGAAACCAUGUACACAAACCUCUAACGAAGCAAUAUCAACUGCAAGCAUACCCAUCACACAGCCCUUCAUCAACAUCAACUAAAUCACAAACCACCGGAGUUGCAGCUCAGGCACCAACGAAUACUGGAACAACAGAACGUACGAACGAACGCACAGCGUGAACGAUCAUUGUGAUGUGCCUACUACUUCCCAAACAACUGCUAGCACCACCGAUAAUAAAGUAAAUAACAAAGAACAUGGAUACGCGAUGGUGACCCGUAGGCCCCACAAGCAACUCAAACCAGGUAAUCGUGAAAGCCCAUACAACAUUAACAGCGAGAAUAGCAUGAACGAUAAACCUAGAGAAAGCAGACUAAGUGAUCCACAAGCAACAAGAGGCAAUGAAAUAAAUAGAUUUUCAACAAGAAAUAAGAUCUUUAGGCAAAGUAACAAAUACACUAUACACUAAAAUUCGAUUUAUUUAUUUUUAUUUACACAUUGAUAAUAUUAAAAGUUCUACGGCGCAGGUAAUGCAUUGAGGAGUGUCGAAUAAAAUG